GAUUAGGUGCAGUGAGUGGUGGAUAGUGAUUGAUCCUGAAGCAAGAGUCAUUCUGGGAAUCACUUAUGAGGUUGCUAAAAAUAGACUUGUCUUGGGUCCUUAAACCUUCCGCCACCAAUUCAAGAAUGUCGCAAGCCAGAUUCUUAACUGCAUUUACGUAAUCGUUUGCCACGCAGCUGCAAAAUUUACAAGACAAAUUGGAUAUUGACAUCAGCGCAAGUACCCAAGAACAAGCCGCGCGCUACCUCUACUAAAUCGCUAAUUAGUUAGAGAUUAUAAGUAUUAAACAAAUAAAACCAAAUCAAAUAAAGACUUCUGACUUUUUCUUGUUAGGUGGCCCUAGGCAUCAGACGUAUAUGAAAUUUUCCUUCAUUACAUUAUUUUUAUUAGCAUUGACUUAUCCUGUUUGCCGUUAUAUAUAUAUAUAUAUAUAUAUAUAUAUAUAUAUAUAUAUAUAUUACGCUUGUCAACGCCAGAAAAUAAAAGAAAAAACUGUAAGUAGGAGUAUAUUUUAAUAAUAAAAAUUUUCUAUUAGAGAAAACUACAAGUCUAACAUAUAGAUAUAUAUAUAUAUAUAUAUAUAAACAUAUGCUACAAGUUUGCAAUUGACAGUGCAACUGUUUGGGGAUUAGGAAGAUGAUAAUCUGAUACACCUAAAAUUCGAAAAAGGGUGGUCUGGUCGUGUCUAUGUACUUACUAUCUGAAAAGUUUUUUCCAUCCAACUAAAGUCACCAUAUUGACCUAAAAAGGGGGUCCAUGCACGUACGUGUAAACAUAUACCAUUUGACUUGAAUUAUAAAGACUUAUCAAUGGCCUUUGGCUGGUCAAUAGUCAGCUGCUAGCUAGCACACAAUAAGCAUUAGGUAACAUAGAUAUUUUAAUUAAUACCUGACAACCUAUCUGUUCCUCUGAAAAGGAGUUGCCAUCCUUAUUAAAAAAUAUUUUUGAGCCUGUUUCCAGGUACACCCUCAAACAAAGAAGAGUCCGUCCCG
rnacentral:lncRNA from 1 species